GAGUGCCUUCAAGUGUGGCUUUCCUUUUCGUUAUCUGAUGAGCAUUAACUUUCGCCCCUAUCUGAAAUUGAAACUUCUCAUGUUGAAUGCGAGAUUGGUCUUACUGAAAAUAACGCAAAAUAGGAAAGCUCAUUUGAGUUGCUUGAUUAUCUGCUAACCUCUUAUUAACUAAAUUGUUGUUUCCAUUUCUUGUAGCUUGGAAUUCUGCUCAAAGGACAAAGUGGAGUGACAGUGAGCAUAAGAUCAGCGGGACAAAAUCAAUAAACGUGCUUCGAAUAAACAUAGGAAUUAAGACUGGUUACAUGUGAUGCCAUAUAUAUGGGACUGCUUUUUCAAUAAAAGAGAUGGGUUCAUCAAGAGAUUUAUUGAAAAAAAUUGAAUACCACAGGAAUCUAUAAAGGUAAAUAUACUUAAAACGAACUAUUUUUUUUUUACGAGAAUCUUUCGUUCUGUUACAAAACCUUUAAAUCUUACCUGAUGUAAAAAAAAAACUGAAAUAUGUGGCAUGAUUUUCACAUUAACCGCAACAAAUCCUACUCCAAUAGGUCCUACUGACAAUUCUCACAAAACUAAUGCACUUGCCCAAUAUAAUAACAACCUUGCCUAACAAUUGACUCUCGUUUGCCUUUUCAGUUCGCAUGGCAUGUUGUUGAGACAACAAGUUGUGCUUUUGGCGACUUUCCACCGACCUUGCUACAAUUUAAUUCCCUUGCAUGCACUUUUUCAGGUACAGCACUGCCCAAAACAUCAUAUUGUUAGAAUCCUUCGAAAAUCAAAUAAAAGAAACAAAAGCA